UACGUAGGGGGCUAGCGUUGUCCGGAAUCAUUGGGCGUAAAGAGCGUGUAGGCGGCCGUACAGGUCAGCUGUGAAAACUCGAGGCUCAACCUCGAGACGUCGGUUGAAACCGUACGGCUAGAGUCCGGAAGAGGAGAGUGGAAUUCCCGGUGUAGCGGUGAAAUGCGCAGAUAUCGGGAAGAACACCCGUGGCGAAGGCGGCUCUCUGGGACGGUACUGACGCUGAGACGCGAAAGCGUGGGGAGCGAACAGG
rnacentral:rRNA from 1 species